rnacentral:rRNA from 1 species
UACGGAGGGAGCUAGCGUUGUUCGGAAUUACUGGGCGUAAAGCGCGCGUAGGCGGCUUUGUAAGUUAGAGGUGAAAGCCCGGGGCUCAACCCCGGAACUGCCUUUAAGACUGCAUCGCUUGAAUCCGGGAGAGGGAUGCGGAAUUCCAGGUGUAGCGGUGAAAUGCGUAGAUAUCUGGAGGAACACCGGUGGCGAAGGCGGCAUCCUGGACCGGCAUCGACGCUGAGGCGCGAAAGCCAGGGGAGCAAACGGG